rnacentral:tRNA from 1 species
UGGGUUGUGGCUCAGUAAUAGAGCACUUGCCUAGCAUGUGUGAGGCACUGGGUUCAAUCCUCAGCAUCACAU